rnacentral:rRNA from 1 species
AACGAACGCUGGCGGCAGGCUUAACACAUGCAAGUCGACCGCCCCGCAAGGGGAGUGGCAGACGGGUGAGUACCGCGUGGGAAUCUACCUAGUUCUACGGAACAACACCGGGAAACUUGUGCUAAUACCGUAUACGCCCUACGGGGGAAAGAUUUAUCGGAAUUAGAUGAGCCCGCGUAGGAUUAGCUAGUUGGUGGGGUAAUGGCCUACCAAGGCGACGAUCUUUAGCUGGUCGGUGAGGAUGAUCAGCCACACUGGGUCUGAGCCACGUCCCGGGCUCCUACGGGAGGCGUCAGUGGGGAAGAUUGGACAAUGGGCGAAAGCCUGAUCCAGCCAUGCCGCGUGAGUUAUGAAGGCCUUAGGGUUGUAAAGCUCUUUCAGUAGGGAAGAUAAUGACGGUACCUACAGAAGAAGCCCCGGCUAACUUCGUGCCAGCCGCCGCAGUAACAC